GUUCCUGGAGGCCUGACAGACAGCCGAUCCCGCUAUUAUCACAAGUCCGCUUUGUGACGAGCUGGUCAACACGCGGGAGGAGACAUAUAUGAUUCCACUUGUGCAAAGUCUGCCUAUGUUGCAACCUUGGGCGAUCGGUUCAUUGGAUUCUUGAAACCAGUGCCUUUUCUGAAGUAAGUCUGGCAUGCAAGGUACCCUCACGGUUUAUUUUCAAGAGAUGGCGUUGGGGUCUCGGGGACGUGCCGGACGGCGUCGCGUUCCUGCACCUUGGGGAUGGCUUUGGGUUGAAUUCCCCUCCAUGCAAUCUUGUGCUCCUUUGGGUGUUUCUAAUCUUUCUGCCUUCUAGCGUAAAUAGAGAGAUGUUCUCCCAUCGCUAUUGGCUGUCAAAUUAGCGAUGCAAUCCAUCCCUAUGUCGGCACAAUCAGCAGAACAAAGCAGCUACCAUGAUUUGCCCAUUGAUCUCUUGGAGUGAUUCAAACCUGCAAGCACCAGGAUUGAGUGACUCCUGCAUAUGAUGACUGAAGAAUUUUUCAUCAAUUUUCCAACUUGAAUUAGCUACAGAAGGGAAAAGAGGAGUCCAGG